rnacentral:rRNA from 1 species
GACAGAGGUGCCGAGCGUUAGGCGGAAUCACUGGGCUUAAAGCGUGUGUAGGCGGACUGAUAAGUACCUUGUGAAAUCCCACGGCUCACCCGUGGAACUGCUUGGUAUACUGGUUGUCUUGAGCCUUCUAGGGGCGAGUGGAACAAAUGGUGGAGCGGUGAAAUGCGUAGAUAUCAUUUGGAACGCCAAUGGUGAAAACAACUCGCUGGGGAAGUGCUGACGCUGAGACACGAAAGCCAGGGGAGCGAACGGG